rnacentral:lncRNA from 1 species
GUGGCGAACACGCCGGGGAAUUUGUUGGCGAAGAUCCCGACUCCGACGCCCGUUCCGCAAGCAAGGAGGCCACGGGUCUCCAAGGAGGGCGAGGUGGUGGCGGAAGAUACUCGACGGCCGACUUCAGCACCGAUGUUGUAGUAGGAGGUGAUUCCGAGAUCUUCGACUUCUAUGUUGAGGGAGCGGAGGUGGGAUACCAUGGCGUCUUUUAGCUCGGCGCCAAAAGAAUCAGCUCCGGCGAUGACUUUUAGGGGGGAAGACGCGGUGGCGGAAUCGGCCAUGAUGCGGCUGUGGGAGGUAGAGAGUAACUAAAGUGAGCUUAAGAAG